rnacentral:rRNA from 1 species
UGGGGAAUUUUGGACAAUGGGCGAAAGCCUGAUCCAGCAAUGCCGCGUGUGUGAAGAAGGCCUUCGGGUUGUAAAGCACUUUUGUCCGGAAAGAAAUCCUUGGCUCUAAUACAGUCGGGGGAUGACGGUACCGGAAGAAUAAGCACCGGCUAACUACGUGCCAGCAGCCGCGGUAAUACGUAGGGUGCAAGCGUUAAUCGGAAUUACUGGGCGUAAAGCGUGCGCAGGCGGUUUGCUAAGACCGAUGUGAAAUCCCCGGGCUCAACCUGGGAACUGCAUUGGUGACUGGGCAGGCUAGAGUAUGGCAGAGGGGGGUAGAAUUCCACGUGUAGCAGUGAAAUGCGUAGAGAUGUGGAGGAAUACCGAUGGCGAAGGCAGCCCCCUGGGCCAAAUACUGACGCUCAUGCACGAAAAGCGUGGGGGAGCAAAACAGGAUUAGAUAACCCCUGGUAGUCCACGCCCUAAAACGAUGUCAACUAGUUGUUGGGGAUUCAUUUCCUUAGUAACGUAGCUAAACGCGUGAAGUUGACCGCCUGGGGAGUACGGUCGCAAGAUUAAAACUCAAAUGAAUUGACGGGGUCAUAGCUGA